CCCUUCGGGUGCUGAGAGCCUCUUUCUCCAUCCCAUGGCUCAGGAGGCAGCAGCACCUGCUGGAAACAGCACCAUGGAUCAUGGCACUGUGCCACCAGCCCCACCAGUGACCUCAGCAAAGCCUCUCUCCCUGCUCCUGCUGCUUGAAAUCGAGGAUAAAAGGCAGGAUCUCAUAAAAAGGAAGGUCUGAAGGUGAUGCUUGUACGUAGCUCUCUUUGUUGUAGGUGUCUGCACUCCCGACAUCCCUCUCAUCCUCGGAAAUCUAAAGGCGGCGUUCAGCAAAGGACUGCAGAGCACAGGGCUGCUGGCAGUGUGCAGUUAAUCACCAGGCUACAUCCAAAGGAAAAGAAAAACCCUUUGCUCAUAAAAAGGGUGGAAAAGGGAUCAAGAUUUUGCAUAAAUCAAGAGAUCUCUGCAGCAGCCUGGUGCCAUUGCUGGGAAAAUUCAUGGGGACCUCAAAGAUAAGGGCAACAGGAGUGCUGAGCACCAUAGGGUUGCAUUUUAAAAACCCCGCAGUUUGUCUCUUUUUUUUGGAUGUUAGAGAAAAUUGUGUGGGCAGAGGCAGUGGUAGAGUCUCUGAACUUGUAUCAGGGAAGCUGCUGAUGGGUUUCACCAACCAUUUUCAUGGUGAAUUGAGAUUGUGGAGGAGAUAAAUGAUAGAGCUCUCCAAAACGCCUUGAGGCUCCUUGUGAAGGGUGGCAAACUGGGAUUUCUGGGCUUUGAGGGUGCAGCCAUGGGGGAGUUAUCAGAAAGACAGAGAGAUAAAUCCAGAAUUACUGGCAGGAUGUUUGCUGAUACAUAAAUACACCCAUGAGAGGUGCAACAGCCGCUGCAAAAACCGCGAGCACCGAUGCUGGGUCCGGUGCAAAUAUCCACAAAUUGGUUAAAAAAAAACCCCAAACCCUCAGUGUUUACAACGAGUUCUGCAGGGAGAAGAGGUGGAGAUGCCAAAACUGGGAGGAGCUUUGAUAGGCAGCGUUGAAAAGCCAUUUCCUGAGUGGGAGGCUGGAAGGAUGGAUCCUGCAGGGCUUUGGGAAGAGCUGCAGAGUAAAGGUUGGCUCGAAGAGCUCAGUAAAGCGAAUUCCUGCAGGCUUGUAAUGGCUCGAUGGUUUCGGGGCGCUCCUAGCAGCCGAAGGUGGCUGGGUGUUGUUUGCCUCCAGAGCCCUGUUUCCCUUCAAACAGUCACAGUCAGGCAGGAAUUGGGUUUCUUGUCCAGCCAGCCUGGUUUUCUCCACAGCAAAAGCUGCCUGGGUCCUGCUGGGAAGCUCUCCAGCUCUGCUCACCCCCGUGCAAUUCCUCCAGAGCAGCACCCAGCCCAAGCUCGGACUCACCUGCCUCUGCACAAUGCUUUUCUACCUUUUACCUUAAAAAAAAACCCCAUCCAAGCAGCCUUGCCUGUUCCUUUUUGUGUCACUGUACAAAAUGCAGCUGUCACACCCACCGGCUUCCUUUUAGGUUUUACCCAGCUCUAGGCUCUGGGUGCCUUGAAUAAAGGGAUUUAUGCCUGGACAUGGCAGUGGCAGGCUUUUCUCCUGGCAUGACCAGACUCUCAAUGUGACAUUCAGAGCUGUAAAACACUCCCUGACAAUAGCUUGUGUUGUUCAAAGAGCAGCAUAAAUAAUUGAGGGGGGUUUUUUCUCUUGGAUUUUUUGGUUUUUGGGGUUUUUUUGUGGGUUUUUUGUUUUGUUUUUUUUUGUGAGAAGAAUAACAUCUCUCCAGGCUGGCUGGGGAGGCGAAGGGCAGGCACUGUUGGAAUGUGGGGGGGAAAUUCAGGAAGGGGUGACAUGGCAAAAGGGGACUUGAGGUUGUUUUCUAGAAGGUUUUUAAUAUCAUGACGUUGGGAUAUCUCUCAAACAAGGCGUUGGGGCCUCUGUUGCUUUUUACACACAUUUUUAUACAGAAUAAAAUAAUACCAUGAUCCAGGCUUCUGUGUGUUUGCAGGGAACAGGAGGGGGCAGCCAGGGGGGGAUCAGGCUCUGCUUCCAUGGAACAGGGACAGGAGGAGAGGGAACAAUCUCUGGUUAUGCCAGGGGAGGCUUAGAUUGGAUAUUUCUUCUUGGAAAGGAGUGUCCAGCUCUGGUACAGCUGUCCAGGGCACUGGUGGAGUCCCCAUCCCUGGAAGAUUUAAAAACCAUGUGGAUGUGGCACUUGGGGACGUGAUUUAGUGGUGGCCUUGGCAGUGCUGGAGGAAUGGUUGGAUUCAGUGAUUUUGGAGGGCUUUUCCAACCUUUUUGAUUUGAUGAUUCU